rnacentral:lncRNA from 1 species
UAGAACAAGAUCAUUCAUCAAAAGCAACAACAAAUCAUGAAGCACACUCAUACAUCAAGCCUCACCAGAUCACAGAUUCAUCAUGCCUAGGCUUGGCAAUCACAAACAACAAAUGUGCAGAUACUUCACACAAAACACACAUACUCAAAGACUACAUUGAUCAUGACCACAAUAACACAAGGCUGCAUCAAGACUAUGCAAACCAAGCUCAUGAUAAAUAGGAACAGAGCCCAGAGCCCAACAACUUUAGAAAACAGGGCAGACUUUUCUUAAGUCACAAGCUAUUUCUGUUUUGGUUGUUAUUGCUAUUUUAGCACAUGUG